AUGGGCCUUAUAAACCCAGAUGUAUGGAGAAUGUGGCUGAUUGAUCAACCUUUACUAGCAAUGGCCAAGUAUUUUAUCCUACUUAUAAAGGUUGGAGUUGGUGGUGAGUUCACAUAUGGAUCAACAACCUUCACAAAUAAAACAAAUACACUCCUGCCCAUAUGUGGACUAGCAACCUUCAAAAGAUGUAAAUAUAGGAAUGUACUUUUAAUUCACAUGUGGGACCCAGCACAAAUAAAUAAAUAUGCUACGGACUACUUUCACGUGAGACUCCACCUGAAAAUCAUGCUCUUGGUUUUAGUUUUCCUUCCCAACCAAUUUUUCUAG
rnacentral:rRNA from 1 species